GUCCGUGUGGCGUAAUGGUAGCGCGACAGCCUCCUAAGCUGUAGGUUGCAGGUUCGACUCCUGCCUCGGAUG
rfam:Paramecium tetraurelia chromosome undetermined scaffold_145, whole genome shotgun sequence.